UAGGGAAUCUUGCGCAAUGGGCGAAAGCCUGACGCAGCAAUGCCGCGUGCGGGACGAAGGCCCUAGGGUCGUAAACCGCUUUCAGUAGGGACGAAAAUGACGGUACCUGCAGAAGAAGCUCCGGCCAACUACGUGCCAGCAGCCGCGGUGAUACGUAGGGAGCAAGCGUUGUCCGGAAUUACUGGGCGUAAAGGGCUCGUAGGUGGUUGAGUAAGUCAGAUGUGAAAUCUCAGGGCCCAACCCUGAGCGUGCAUUUGAUACUGCUCUGACUAGAGUCCGGUAGGGGAGUGCGGAAUUCCUGGUGUAGCGGUGAAAUGCGCAGAUAUCAGGAGGAACACCGACAGCGAAGGCAGCACUCUGGGCCGGUACUGACACUGAGGAGCGAAAGCAUGGGUAGCAAACA
rnacentral:rRNA from 1 species